rnacentral:ncRNA from 1 species
CGGAUACAGGAAAGAUUGACAGAUUAAGAGGUUUUUUUUUUGAUUCUGUGGAUGGUGGUUCAUGGCCGUUCUCAGUUGGUGGAGCAAUUUGUCUGGUUGAUUCCGAUAACAUAAAUGUAAGAAAUAGCUGUUAAAAGGAAGCUUUAGAU